CGGGACGUAGCGCAGCCCGGUAGCGCACCUGCUUCGGGAGCAGGGGGUCCGGGGUUCAAAUCCCCGCGUCCCGA
rnacentral:tRNA from 1 species